rnacentral:tRNA from 1 species
GUACAUAAUACUUAAUUCCUG